AACGAACGCUGGCGGCAUGCCUAACACAUGCAAGUCGAACGAGACCUUCGGGUCUAGUGGCGCACGGGUGCGUAACGCGUGGGAACCUGCCCUUAGGUUCGGAAUAACUCCCCGAAAGGGGUGCUAAUACCGGAUAAUGUCUUCGGACCAAAGAUUUAUCGCCUUUGGAUGGGCCCGCGUUGGAUUAGCUAGUUGGUAGGGUAAAAGCCUACCACGGCGACGAUCCAUAGCUGGUCUGAGAGGAUGAUCAGCCACACUGGGACUGAGACACGGCCCAGACUCCUACGGGAGGCAGCAGUGGGGAAUAUUGGACAAUGGGCGAAAGGCUGAUCCAGCAAUGCCGCGUGAGUGAUGAAGGCCUUAGGGUUGUAAAGCUCUUUUACCCGGGAUGAUAAUGACAGUACCGGGAGAAUAAGCUCCGGCUAACUCCGUG
rnacentral:rRNA from 1 species